rnacentral:lncRNA from 1 species
AGAUUAUUAUUUUUUUUCUAAUAAUAUAUGGAAAAAUUCUAGAAUACAAUGGGUAUAUUGGUAACGUAGCGUAACAAGCCAAUCAAAUAUCUUUUUUUUAAAAUAUAUAUCCCAUCAUGAUUAUAAAAAUAUAUUUUUAUUGUACUUUUGUUUGAAAAGAAGAAAUAUGACUGACUUGUUAUUGAUGAGGUGGUACAAAUACGACAGUGUAGAAUUCCUCUACUAAUAUAU